GAUGAACGCUGGCGGCGUGCCUAAUACAUGCAAGUCGAGCGAAUGGAUUGAGAGCUUGCUCUUAUGAAGUUAGCGGCGGACGGGUGAGUAACACGUGGGUAACCUGCCCAUAAGACUGGGAUAACUCCGGGAAACCGGGGCUAAUACCGGAUAACAUUUUGAACCGCAUGAUUCGAAAUUGAAAGGCGGCUUCGGCUGUCACUUAUGGAUGGACCCGCGUCGCAUUAGCUAGUUGGUGAGGUAACGGCUCACCAAGGCAACGAUGCGUAGCCGACCUGAGAGGGUGAGCGGCCACACUGGGACUGAGACACGGCCCAGACUCCUACGGGAGGCAGCAGUAGGGAAUCUUCCGCAAUGGACGAAAGUCUGACGGAGCAACGCCGCGUGAGGGAUGAAGGCUUUCGGGUCGUAAAACUCUGUUGUUAGGGAAGAACAAGUGCUAGUUGAAUAAGCUGGCACCUUGACGGUACCUAACCAGAAAGCCACGGCUAACUACGUGCCAGCCGCCGCGGUAA
rnacentral:rRNA from 1 species